AAUCAUUUCACAUAUCAACGGCAACAGCUAAAUGUAAUUUUACUAAAUACUUAAUAUAAAAUAGCUAUCAUCAGCUAUCAGCUAACAGCAACAGCUAUCAGCUAACAACUAUAUAUUGUAUUCAAUAGUUAAUCCAAACAUGCUCUUAAUUACAAUAGUUUUAGAAAUUCUUAAACGUAUAUGAAUUAUGACAUCUGAAUCAUAACACAAAUACAGAUUCCAUAAAGGCCUUAACAAGAUCUCAUCAUCAUCAUCAUCAAUGAGAGAUUUAUUAUUGACAAAAUAUUUAUAAUUGACAAUAAUAAUAAGCUUUUCCCAAAACGACGUAACCUUGUCGCUAAUAAAUAACAAACCCACAACUUACAAACACUUUUAAUUUAACCCAGCUCUAAAGAUCGAGCCGUCGGCUAACCCUUUUUAGCCUGCGGUUCGAACCCAAAUCACACAACCCAAGUUUUACAACCUUAUUCAUCGGCGGUGGUCCAAGUCAUGUCAUUCUCGAAUAUCCAGUGGCAAACCUCGAUCCGACCCGGACCCGAACCUAAAGCCAAGAAAGCACCAUGGGUGGAGCUCCAAGAGGAAGUAUCCAGGUGACAUACGGCAACGCCGUGGUUGAUUUUCGCCUUGCUAUUCCGAUCCAAGAUGUCCGCUUCGUAAACCCGAACUUUGGGAACCGAGUGGCAGUAAUAGAGCAGGUACGGGAACAAGCUCUGGUGACAAGAUACUGACUUGGUCACUCUACCACCGUUGAUACCUUUGACCGAUCCGAUCAUGAUAUUCUUCUUUGACCCCUUCACGUUUUCAGUCGUACGAACCACCACAUUGCGGCCUAGGACGGAGGUGGCGAAGUCGAUUAAGUCCUCGGCGGAGCCAACGCAGCGCUUGGUCUCGCCGGGGCUAGGUGCUCUCUCGCACUCGUCAAGAGCGUCCAUAAUUAUGUUCUCCAUGGUUGAAUUAUCAGCAGCGUGGAAAGUUUCCUUCAAUGGAGCGAUCUUGGAGGUGGAAAAUGGUAAUUUUGAGGUGAUGGUGCGGGGCAAAAAUGACCUUUGAGGCAUUUUAUCUCUAAUGUCAGGCAUUGGCAUCACGUUACCCUUCUUGAGCUCAGACUCACGGAAAAAUUUGCCAGGCUCAAUCCACUUAUUUACCAAACUACCACUGACCUUCUUUGCAGUAGUUUCUUCAGAUGCAGUAGUGGAGCUUGUUUUGCUGUACCCAGAAAAAGAUACGCUCUUUUUAUCAGCAUACUCUUUGAAAGUGUUGUUCACUCCAUAGAUCUUGAACCCAAUCUUCGGCUUAUCUGCUCGUUCACCAUACCCAGUAAAUGUAUCAGACCCUUCAUUGAAGGAUUUCCCAUAAUUUUUGAAAUUUACAGUUCCCCCAGUUGAUUUUUUAGCAUAAGAUUGGAAGGAAUCGUCACCCACAUUGGAUUCAUCUCUGUAAUUGGUGAAGGUAUCAAAACUACCAGUUCCUUCAGCGCCGUAGUUCUUGAAAUUGUUCUCUGGAACAUUUCCAUUGAACCCAUAAGACUUGAAGGUAUCAUUAGCUCCAUUCUCAUUCUCGCCGUAAUUCGUAAAAUCUGAGCCAAUCACAUUCGAGUUCUCUGCAUAGCUCGUAAAUUCAUUAGGGCUUGCAUUCCCGUUCUUCCCAUAACUGGAGAAAGAUUCACCGCCGGAGUUUGUAUCCCCUGUAUAGCUCGAGAAUUUUUGGGCCCUGCGAUUUCCGUGAUCCGAAUAAGAUGUGAACCGAAGAUUUGGGACAUUUACUUGCUCAUUGUAUUUCUUGAAGUCGCUGGCGCCACCGCUGCUAUGGGCACCAUAGGUGUUGAAGCUUUGGUCGGGGACGUUCCCGUCAGGGCCAUAAGUGGAAAAUUUUUCGUUGUGAUCAAUGGCGCCGCGGCCGUAUCGCCGAAAAGAGUCGACGGGGAUAUUUUCUCCAUCUGAAUAGUUCUUGAACGAGUCGACUCCGUUCACCAAAUCCGAACCGUAAUUGGUAAAGUUCUUGUUGCUGUAGACAGCAAAGUUGGAGUUUCCUUCGUGCUUCUCGAGGCUGGGCGCUAAAUCGGGGAAGCAGAAGAGCUUGGCGGAGGAGCAGAAGGCGGAGAACUUAGUGGAGAGGGCAUUUUGCGAGGCGAGUUUGGUAAAAGUGGCGGCAUCCACGGCGUUCAAUGGAGAGGCCUUGGAUAGAAUGAAUGGAGAUUUUGGUAAAUUGCUGUGGAUCUCCUUGUCCCAGUACCGGAUAAGAUAUGCUUUUGGCGUAAGUGGACCGUCACCGGCCAGCAGUACCCUGGCACCGGCUGAACUCGCAUCGAGCAAGAAUGGGAAGCAGAAGAAGAUGAAGAAGAAGAAAGGGGAAAUUGGGUGAGCUUGCAUUUUCUUUACAAGCAAAGACGAGCGAGAAUGUUGGUGGGUUUGUAGGGUUGUGAAGUGAAGAAAUAUAUAAAAAGGAUUAGACAGAUGGGGAGAGAGAAAGAGAGUUUAUUUUUUUUAAUGGUGGAUUUGGCCUUGUGGUUAGUUAGUGAGCUUUGACACUUGAGGCUCCUCCUCCUCGUUUAGGCAUCACUGGUGAGUGGCACCAAGAGAAGAGUGACUCAAAGCUCUCUGUUGGAAGAGGAAUGAGGAAUGGGACUAUAUUUAUAAGCUCUAAAGAACACAGCAACUACAAAAGAGCUUCUAAAAACUUCAAGCAAUUAGCUUUUCCAUAAGUAGGCUGCAAAAUCUCAACAUAAGAAACCAGUUGUCAAAGGUAAAGAAAAGAAAUAGCAAAAUGAAUCGAAUAUCAUCGGAAGGGUACAAAAUGAGGUCUGACUCUUUAGCAAACAAGAUUUUGGAAAUUUGGGAAAAGGAUACGAGCAAUAGGAAGGGGGAGAGACCACAGCACUUGUGUUUGUGCAAUUUUCGGUAUUAUUAUUAUUAUU
rnacentral:misc_RNA from 1 species